CAUGCAAGUCGAACGAGGGAGUGUUUCGAAAGGGACACAAACCGAGUGGCGUAAGGGCGAGUAAUGCAUUGAUAACCUGCCUUUGAGAUGGGGAUAACAACGUCUCGCAAGAGACUUCCGAAAGGGUUGCUAAUACCCAAUAAGACUGUUGGUGCGGAGGUGCUGAGAGUCAAAGGUCUGGAGUGAAAGCUCCAUUUGCUCAGAGAGGGGUCAAUGUCCUAUCAGCUAGUUGGUAGGGUAAAGGCCUACCAAGGCGAAGACGGGUAGCCGGCCUGAGAGGGUGGUCGGCCGCAUUGGGACUGAGACACUGCCCAGACUCCUACGGGAGGCUGCAGUCGAGAAUCUUUCGCAAUGCCCGCAAGGGUGACGAAGCGACGCCGCGUGUGGGAAGAAGGCCUUCGGGUUGUAAACCACUGUCGGGAGUUAAGAAAGGUGUACGGGUAAAUAGUCCGUGCAUUUGACAAAAGCUCCGGAGGAAGCCACGGCUAACUCUGUGCCAGCAGCCGCGGUAAUACAGAGGUGGCAAGCGUUGUUCGGAAUUAUUGGGCGUAAAGAGCACGUAGGCGGCCCUGCAAGUCAGCUGUGAAAGCCUCCUGCUUAACGGGAGAAGUGCAGUUGAAACUACGGGGCUAGAGUGCGGAAGGGGAGAGUGGAACUUCUGGUGGAGCGGUGAAAUGCGUAGAUAUCAGAAGGAACACCGGCGGCGAAAGCGGCUCUCUGGUCCGUAACUGACGCUGAGGUGCGAAAGCCAGGGGAGCAAACGGGAUUAGAUACCCCGGUAGUCCUGGCCGUAAACGAUGGGCACUCGGUAGAGGGGUUUUGAAUAUCUCUCUGCCUGAGCUAACGCGUUAAGUGCCCCGCCUGGGGAGUACGGCCGCAAGGCUAAAACUCAAAAGAAUUGACGGGGGCUCGCACAAGCGGUGGAGCAUGUGGCUUAAUUCGAUGCAACACGAAGAACCUUACCGGGGCUCGACAUGACAGAAGUAGGAGUCCGAAAGGACAACCAACGGUAUCCAGUCCGUAGCUGUCACAGGUGUUGCAUGGCUGUCGUCAGCUCGUGUCGUGAGACGUUGGGUUAAGUCCCCUAACGAGCGAAACCCUUGUCUUUAGUUGCCAACGGGUCAAGCCGGGCACUCUAAAGAGACUGCUGUCGUUAAGACGGAGGAAGGUGGGGAUGACGUCAAGUCAUCAUGGCCCUUAUGUCCCGGGCUGCACACGUGCUACAAUGGUCGGUACAAAGGGAUGCUAAAUCGCAAGAUGGAGCGAAACCCAGAAAGCCGGUCCCAGUUCAGAUUGGAGGCUGAAACCCGCCUCCAUGAAGGAGGAAUCGCUAGUAAUCGCGGAUCAGCUAUGCCGCGGUGAAUAUGUUCCCGAGCCUUGUACACACCGCCCGUCAAGCCACCCAAGCAAGAUGCACCCGAAAUUGCUGACCCAACCCGCAAGGGAGGGAGGCGCCUAAGGUGUGUUUUGUGAGGAGGACUAAGUCGUAACAAGGUAGUCGUAGGAGAACCUGCGGCUGGAUCACCUCCUUUCU
rnacentral:rRNA from 1 species